rnacentral:rRNA from 1 species
GACGAACGCUGGCGGCGUGCCUAAUACAUGCAAGUAGAACGCUGAAGCGAGGAGCUUGCUCUUCUUGGAUGAGUUGCGAACGGGUGAGUAACGCGUAGGUAACCUGCCUUGUAGCGGGGGAUAACUAUUGGAAACGAUAGCUAAUACCGCAUAACAAUGGAUGACACAUGUCUUUUAUUUGAAAGGGGCAAUUGCUCCACUACAAGAUGGACCUGCGUUGUAUUAGCUAGUAGGUGAGGUAACGGCUCACCUAGGCGACGAUACAUAGCCGACCUGAGAGGGGGGUCCGCCACACUGGGACUGAGACACGGCCCAGACUCCUACGGGGGGCAGCAGGAGGGGAACUUCGGGCAUGGGGGGAACCCUGACCGGGCAACGCCGCGUGAGUGAAGAAGGGUCUCGGGUCGGAAAGCUCUGUUGUAAGUCAAGAACGAGUGUGAGAGUGGAAAGUUCACACUGUGACGGUAGCUAACCAGAAAGGGACGGCUAACUACGUG